CUACCCAUUAGCUAUCUCAACUUAUAAAUAUGUUAGACACCAUUGUGGAAAGGAAACAAGACUGACAGUUUGUGGGGGAAGGGCCCAACUGGGAGUGGCAGUUGGGUCAGGUGACUAGUCCUUCCUUCCUGCGAGGUGGGUCUUGCUUCCUGGGAUUGGAGGGGAGAGGAGCUUGUUCAGCCCAGUCUGGAGAGGCAUGCUCUUCUUGGUUCAGCCCGAAGACACAGGCUUCUGAAGGGCUAGUGGAUGGUGCACAAGACCAGAAUGCAGGUACAAUAAUUGAAAUCUCAAGUGAUGUACCAGAAGAGGUUUGGGCUAAGCAUUCUACAGAUGCUUUGGCCCUGCCUCCUACUAGAUGAUGGAAGAACUUCAAGAAGUCUUCUACCAGAGGGAACCCAUAAAGCAUUCAAGACCUUUAGGAAGAUGGAACACAAAUGCCAAUCCUGUCCCAGGCCUCCUCGUGUCACAGGUUUUGCAGGAUAAAAGUUAAGUCUGAGGCUAAUCUCUUGGAAGGAAAUGGCUAAAAUCCUGGCUUUCUAAAAGGAUCAUAGAUUUAGAGAUGGAAGGAGCCUUAGAGGGCAUCAUAUCCAACUCCCUCCUUCCCAUGCAGAAACUGAGACUGUAGCUAUCAGUUAAAUGAAAUGAUCACUCAGCUAGGAAAGUCAAAGGCAGGCCAUGAGCCCACAUCUUCCAGAAUAUAAAUCCAAAACACUAUCCACUAUUCCACACUUCCCCUCAUUAUUAUAACCAUUUUUAGUUGUCUAUUGUCUUCUUUGUUUAUUAUGUGUUCUGUAUUAAGCUUAGUGAUUGCACCAUCACUUUUCACUUAGAAAAAUUUGCCCUGGAAUUGUGCUGUGGAAUUGGAAUAAAGUGGUGCUUAAUAAAUGCUUUCA
rnacentral:lncRNA from 1 species